rnacentral:rRNA from 1 species
GUAGGUGGCAAGCGUUGUCCGGAAUUAUUGGGCGUAAAGCGCGCGCAGGCGGUUCUUUAAGUCUGAUGUGAAAGCCCACGGCUCAACCGUGGAGGGUCAUUGGAAACUGGAGAACUUGAGUACAGAAGAGGAAAGCGGAAUUCCACGUGUAGCGGUGAAAUGCGUAGAGAUGUGGAGGAACACCAGUGGCGAAGGCGGCUUUCUGGUCUGUAACUGACGCUGAGGACGCGAAAGCGUGGGGAGCAAACAGGGAUUAGAUACCCUGGUAGUCCACGCCGUAAACGAUGAGUGCUAAGUGUUAGGGGGGUUUCCGCCCCCUUAGUGCUGCAGCUAACGCAUUAAGCACUCCGCCUGGGGAGUACGGCCGCAAGGCUG